AACGAACGCUGGCGGCAGGCCUAACACAUGCAAGUCGAGCGGACCCUUCGGGGUUAGCGGCGGACGGGUGAGUAACGCGUGGGAAUAUGCCCUUCUCUACGGAAUAGUCCUGGGAAACUGGGGGUAAUACCGUAUACGCCCUUUGGGGGAAAGAUUUAUCGGGGAAGGAUUAGCCCGCGUUGGAUUAGGUAGUUGGUGGGGUAAUGGCCUACCAAGCCGACGAUCCAUAGCUGGUUUGAGAGGAUGAUAGCCACACUGGGACUGAGACACGGCCCAGACUCCUACGGGAGGCAGCAGUGGGGAAUCUUAGACAAUGGGGGCAACCCUGAUCUAGCCAUGCCGCGUGAGUGAUGAAGGCCUUAGGGUUGUAAAGCUCUUUCAGCUGGGAAGAUAAUGACGGUACCAGCAGAAGAAGCCCCGGCUAACUCCGUG
rnacentral:rRNA from 1 species